GGGCGAUUAGCUCAGUUGGUAGAGCAUCUCCCUUACAAGGAGGGGGUCACUGGUUCGAGCCCGGUAUCGACCACCA
rnacentral:tRNA from 1 species